rnacentral:rRNA from 1 species
AUUGAACGCUGGCGGCAGGCCUAACACAUGCAAGUCGAGCGGAUGAAGGGAGCUUGCUCCUGGAUUCAGCCGCGGACGGGUGAGUAAUGCCUAGGAAUCUGCCUGGUAGUGGGGGAUAACGUCCGGAAACGGGCGCUAAUACCGCAUACGUCCUGAGGGAGAAAGUGGGGGAUCUUCGGACCUCACGCUAUCAGAUGAGCCUAGGUCGGAUUAGCUAGUUGGUGGGGUAAAGGCCUACCAAGGCGACGAUCCGUAACUGGUCUGAGAGGAUGAUCAGUCACACUGGAACUGAGACACGGUCCAGACUCCUACGGGAGGCAGCAGUGGGGAAUAUUGGACAAUGGGCGAAAGCCUGAUCCAGCCGUGCCGCGUGUGUGAAGAAGGUCUUCGGAUUGUAAAGCACUUUAAGUUGGGAGGAAGGGCAGUAAGUUAAUACCUUGCUGUUUUGACGUUACCAACAGAAUAAGCACCGGCUAACUUCGUG